CUGCUGCCUCCCGUAGGAGUCUGGUCCGUGUCUCAGUACCAGUGUGGGGGACCUUCCUCUCAGAACCCCUACGCAUCGUCGCCUCGGUGGGCCGUUACCCCGCCGACUAGCUAAUGCGCCGCAUGCCCAUCCCCCGCCGGAAUCGCUUCCUUUGGCCGCAGACCCAUGCAGGUCCGCGGCGUUACGCGGUAUUAGUCGGGAUUUCUCCCGGUUAUCCCCCUGCGGGGGCAGGUCGCAUACGUGUUACUCACCCGUGCGCCGGUCGCCGGCA
rnacentral:rRNA from 1 species